rnacentral:rRNA from 1 species
GAGUUUGAUCCUGGCUCAGGAUGAACGCUGGCGGCGUGCUUAACACAUGCAAGUCGAGCGAAAAUAAUUGAGAGCUUGCUUUUGAUUAUUUUAGCGGCGGACGGGUGAGUAACGUGUGGGCAACCUACCUUUUACUGUGGAAUAAUCGUUGGAAACGACGACUAAUACCGCAUACGAUUUUCUGAAGGCAUCUUUGGGAAAAGAAAGGAAAUAUUCGGUAAAAGAUGGGCCCGCAUCUGAUUAGCUAGUUGGUGAGAUAAUAGCCCACCAAGGCAACGAUCAGUAGCCGACCUGAGAGGGUGACCGGCCACAUUGGGACUGAGACACGGCCCAAACUCCUACGGGAGGCAGCAGUGGGGAAUAUUGCACAAUGGGCGAAAGCCUGAUGCAGCAACGCCGCGUGAAGGAAGACGGUUUUCGGAUUGUAAACUUCUAUCAAUAGGGAAGAAAGAAAUGACGGUACCUAAAUAAGAAGCCCCGGCUAACUACGUGCCAGCAGCCGCGGUAAUACGUAGGGGGCAAGCGUUAUCCGGAAUUACUGGGUGUAAAGGGAGAGUAGGCGGCAAGGUAAGCGAUAUGUGAAAGCCUUAAGCUUAACUUAAGGAUGGCAUAACGAACUAUCUAGCUAGAGUACAGGAGAGGAAAGCGGAGUUCCUAGUGUAGCGGUGAAAUGCGUAGAUAUUAGGAAGAACACCAGUGGCGAAGGCGGCUUUCUGGACUGAAACUGACGCUGAGGCUCGAAAGCGUGGGGAGCGAACAGGAUUAGAUACCCUGGUAGUCCACGCUGUAAACGAUGAGUGCUAGGUGUCGGGGAGGAAUUCCCGGUGCCGGAGCAAACGCAAUAAGCACUCCACCUGGGGAGUACGACCGCAAGGUUGAAACUCAAAGGAAUUGACGG